rnacentral:lncRNA from 1 species
GACAAGGGGCAGAGGCAGAGAGAGAGAGAGGAGCCACCCUGAGAAGGAAGAGACCAGGUGGGCUCUGAGACAGGGAGACCCUUUCUACGUCGGUGCCUUGACAUGUGACUUUUUUGUCACUUCGUGCUCCAGGAUCACACCUGGAUGAACUAUCACUUUCAAAUGACCUUGUCUUUUCUCGGGCCUUCUGAACUGAUCAUCUCUUCCUUCUGAUACAAGAGGAUCUUCCCUGGAAGACCACUGCACACCUUCUAGUAACACUGCGACCCUGGAUAAUAUUCUACUUUGAAGAACACCAGUAGACCGAAGCAAGAUGACUAAUUUUUAAUGCCAAAGUAUGCAAAACCUGCCACUUCACUGGCAAGCCAUGAAUUAUUCAUAAAUAUAGACUUGGUUAAUAUCUUUAAAAA